GGGGAGCAGUGCUGUUUUAAUAUUGGGAUCUGAGAAAUGGAGAUGAGGAGAAGGGUAGGAAAAAUUGCCGGAGAGUCUCAGGUUGUGACCUACCAAUAGGUGAUGAAAGCCAUCAGCGGGUCCCAACCAUCACCGUCUUUAUAGAAUGAAAUGGAGUACGUGACACAUAGGAAGGCUCCAGUUAACAAAGACCAUUCAAGGGGCAUCUGAGACGAAGAGGCGUUCCCACUGGCAUCUGCUGCGAGGUCUGAGAAACCCGACGUCAUCUUCCAGCAUCUCUCAUGAUGAUGGCAAUCAUG